rnacentral:rRNA from 1 species
ACGCGUGGAACCUUACCAGGUCUUGACAUCCUCUGACACUCCUAGAGAUAGGACGUUCCCCUUCGGGGGACAGAGUGACAGGUGGUGCAUGGUUGUCGUCAGCUCGUGUCGUGAGAUGUUGGGUUAAGUCCCGCAACGAGCGCAACCCUUGAUCUUAGUUGCCAGCAUUAAGUUGGGCACUCUAAGGUGACUGCCGGUGACAAACCGGAGGAAGGUGGGGAUGACGUCAAAUCAUCAUGCCCCUUAUGACCUGGGCUACACACGUGCUACAAUGGAUGGUACAAAGGGCAGCAAAGCGGUGACGCCUAGCAAAUCCCAUAAAACCAUUCUCAGUUCGGAUUGUAGGCUGCAACUCGCCUACAUGAAGCUGGAAUCGCUAGUAAUCGCGGAUCAGCAUGCCGCGGUGAAUACGUUCCCGGGCCUUGCACACACCGCCCGU